rnacentral:lncRNA from 1 species
AGUUUACUCCACCGUGAACUUCCUCCGAUGUCCAUAAAUACACUGUCACGUUGUCACUUUUAUGUCUGCACAGCGGCGCAUUCUAAACAAGCACCACAGUCUUUUUUUUAAACAGCAAUCCCCUGUUGCUGGAUCUUAAGGUUUUCUUCCACUUUUUGAAGAAAUUUUCAAACAGAACUUGAAGCAAAUUCUUUUGCAUAUCUCAGACUAUAUGCCUUUAGGAUACAUUCCCAAGAGGGCAUUUCUUGCCAAAGGGAAGCACACUUUUAAGGUUGUUGAUAUCUUCAAUUGUUCAUUUCCCGCAGUUGGAUACAGAGGGGGCAGCAGCUGAAACCUUUUUCAAGACUCUAGUCUGCACAUUCGUGGUAAGUCCUGACCCCAGGCCCACGCUGCGGGGGAGGAGGGAUUGCACCUGGACUAAAUGGUCUGAGCGACGCAUGUUAGCAUGAAUGAGCUGGCUCAUUAGUUCAUGUUGCCUCCGCCACCAGCAGCAGAUAGGACAUACCUCAAAUGUGUUGUGGCAGUAUAUUACAGUAAAUUAUGACAAUUAGAUAUUGUACCUUUGUGGGUGCAAAGUCCUACUGUGAUCAAUGUAAACAUGGAAAAACAAUGUAAUUUUUAUGAUCCUCAUGUGGGAUUUCUCCAUGUUUUUACUAUAAGAGGAACUGCAGGCCGGGCGCGGUGGCUCACGCCUGUAAUCC